GAUGAAGAACGCAGCGAAAUGCGAUAAGUAAUGUGAAUUGCAGAAUUCAGUGAAUCAUCGAAUCUUUGAACGCAUCUUGCGCUCCUUGGUAUUCUGAGGAGCAUGCCUGUUUGAGUGUCAUUAAAUUCUCAACCGCACUGACUUUGAAUUGGUGUGGCUUGGAUUUGGGGGGAAAACUGUUGUGGGCUUUUUUGUAUAGUCUGCUCCCCUGAAAUUGAUUAGCGGUACCUUUGUGGAACUGUCUACAGGUGUGAUAAUUAUCUACAUCCUAGACAUCUGCUGGAAUGCUGCUUUCUAAACCUUACUUGUAUUGACAAUCUUGACCUCAAAUCAGGUAGGACUACCCGCUGAACUUAAGCAUAUCAAUAAGCGGAGGA
rnacentral:misc_RNA from 1 species